CAUACACACUCAUACACAAUCACAUGAUAUUUAGCAAGUACUGGAAAUGACACACUUAAAACUUCAUCAAUUUCAACAAAAAGGAAACUAAAGGAGCACAUUUCCUGGGUGUUUUUUAUUAUAUAAGGUACAUUAGUCCACUCCGUGACUAUACAUUACUCCCUGUUGGUACAAGCCACUGUGCUAACUGCAGUACGAAAAAAAUUUAACUAUUACGUGAUCUUGCCCUUCCCUCUACUUCUUGUCUAACCCUUGUCAUAAUCUUUUACUUUAUUCCUUCUCCUCUUGUCCCUCCCCCAUCAUUCCUCCAUCAGACUCUGAUUCUCCCAGGUCUCAAACUCCCCUUUACGUUGGAGCAUAAAUGCAAAGAAUAAAAGCAACUCUUGGCUUGGAGUGUGAAAACCAAGGGCCACUCUACGCAAAAGAUUUUGAAGACUAUGUGCUUUCUUCAAACUCUCAGAGCUUAAUUCUCUCCGAGAAAGAAAGAGGAAGGGGAAGAGUUACAAAGAGAAAAAGAUGAAAAUAGAUGCUGGAAAGAGAUGGGAUGAAACGGUACUUUAUGCUGCCUGCUCCUCAGAACUGUCUCCAUGGGAGGUUGGGGUGAUGGAUGCUAGAACCCCUCUCCCCUCCAGAUAUACGGGGAGGUCCCAGAGCAGAAGCAAUCUGUGCCUUAAAUUGCCAUAUAGAAUCUUGGGCGUCCAAACCUACCAGAGCCUCCCACAGCUCCAUAGCAAGAAAACCAGAGAACUGAAAGGAAUGGCUUGAAGUCAGGAUGCUUGAGAAAUGGAGGCAGUGGAGUCCCCGCUGUGGCACAACAGGAUAGGCAGGUCUCUGCAGUGCCAGACAUAGGUUGGAUCCCCAGCCAGCACAGUGAAAUAAGGAUCCCGAGUUGUUGCAGCUGUGGCGUGGGCCACAACUGUGGCUUGGAUCUGAUCCCGGCCUGGGAACUCCAUAUACCACGGGGUGGCCAAAAAAAAAAAAAAAAGAAAUGGAAGCCACACCAUCAAGAGUCUGGUGACCCCAAAGAACAUAAGUACUAUUUUCCGAGGGGGGAUGGUGGGUCUGGAUGAAGGGACCCAGUGGUAGAACAGAUUCUGGACCAGCCAGGCAGAAAGCAGAUGAGAAGAUGGCAACUUGAGAAGAUGCUGAUAUAGAUGGAGAGGUGGGAUAAUGUGUGUCAAGCGGAAGCCCCAUGACCAGGCACUCAGAUCCCUUGGGCGGGGGGGAUGCGCUAGAAAAUUCUCUAAGAUUAAGUUUAAAUGGCAGCACUUUUAUACUUGAUCAAGUAGCCUGAAAAACACCACCCAUGGGGGUGGGGUUAACCUAAAGCCUAAAGAGACAGCAAUUCUUCUUCCAGCAGUGUAUCUAUCAUCCAGACAGACUUAGCUCUUAAAAGAGAGAAACAUUCCCCCAAAAAGGAACUUUAAAUGCAGUCCCAGUUUACCAGCAGGCAGACCCUGCCAUUAUUUCAAAAAUUAAUGGCACCUGUGGGAUGAUAGCUCCUAAUGCUAAAGAAUCUUCCAGUGUAUGAUGUCUUCUUUUCUUCUUUUAUCUCAUGCUUUUGCAGAGGGGUCACUGCUUAAAGGCUGCCAAUUUUGGUUGUUCUGACUAUAUAUUUGCGGUUUCAAAUACCAUCUAUAUGCCAAUGACUCAAAAAUCCAUAUUCUCAGCCAAAAUCCUGCCACUGAGCUCCAGACCCUUGUCUCUCGCUGCCUACUUAACAGCUCCAUUUGGAUGUCUUACCAGCAUCCCAAACUCAACUUGUCCAAAGUCAGCCUCGGGAUCGUUCCCGCCCCCACCUGCUUCUAAGUUUGAUGUCUUAGCAGGGGUGGGAAUCUCCGCUACAGCCUAGUCAUGUCCUUCUCUUUCAACCUCAAAGUCAUUCAUUUGCCAAGUUACUUAAAUCUGUCCACUCUUCUCCACUGCUACCAGCCUAAACUUUGUCACCUCCUAAAUCAACCCCACCGUCCUUCUUGAAAUGACUCCAUGCAUCAAGAGUACACUGUUGUUUGUUUCUUUUAGAUGCAAACAUAAUCACAUCUCAGU
rnacentral:lncRNA from 1 species